GCUUCGAUAGACUAGUGGUUGAUGCGCCCGCCUCGGGUGCGGGAGGUCGUAAGUUCAAACCCUGGUCGAGUCG